rnacentral:misc_RNA from 1 species
CGAUGUCGUGGAAUCGCCGCGUGCUGCAGAUGGGUGGCGGCGGCUAUAACGGCACGCUGGUGACCGGGCUGACCGGCUUCACGCUGCAGCCGGCGAACGUGGACAACCCGUUGAAGCAGGGCUUCGUCACGCUCGGCACGGACGGCGGCCACAAGUCGACAGCCGGAUUCGACGGCACGUUCGCGAUGGAUGACGAGGCGCUGCGGAACUUCGGCAAGGAGUCGGUGAAGAAAGGGCACGACGUCGCGAUCGAAAUCAUCAAGAAGGCGUACGGCCGCGCGCCGGAGCGGUUCUAUUUCAUCGGCGGCUCGCAGGGCGGCCACGAGGCACUCGAUGCCGCCGCGCGCUAUUCGAACGACUACGACGGCGUGGUCGCGCAUUAUCCCGCGUACAACGUCACGCUGCUGCAUCUGGGAUCGCUCAACGUCGGCCGCGCGCUCUAUGAGGGCGGCGGCGCGGCGUGGAUGAAUCCGGCCGAGGUGAAGCUGAUCACCGACGCCGUGUACGCGACGUGCGAUCCGCUCGAUGGCGCGAAGGACGGCAUCAUCAGCGACGUCAAGGCGUGCACCAGGGCGUUCGACGUGAAGACGCUGCGCUGCUCGAACGGAUCGGAUACGGGUGACGGCUGUCUCUCCGAUGCGCAGCUCGCGGCGGUGGCUAGAAUCACCAGCGACUACAAGCCGGGCUUCGCGAUUGCCGGCAUGGACACAUUCCCACGCUGGGCGCUGCUCGAAGGCGCGCUGUUCCAGGGCCGAUCGAGCUUCGGUCAGGUGCCGCAGCCGUCCAACCCGCUGUCGGGCAAGGAGCCGCUGCUCUAUACGGCCGGCGAUCAGACUGCCAAGUUCAUCAUCUCGCGCAAUCCCAAGCUCGAUACGAUGACGUUCGAUCCGAAGCAGUAUCAAGAGCGCAUCAAGGUCGUCGCGUCGAUCAUGGACGUGAGCGACGUGAGCCUUGAGAAGUUCAAGGCCAGGGGCGGCAAGAUCAUCAUGACCCACGGCACGGUGGACGACUUCAUCACGCCGCACAACAGCGAGCUCUAUUACCAGCGGCAAGUGAAGCGGUUCGGCAAGUCGGGCGUGGACAGCUUCAUGCGCUUCUACAUGAUUCCCGGCUUCGGCCACGGCUUCGGACCUUUCAACGCGAAGAUCGAUAGCCUGAAUGCGCUGCAGGAGUGGGUGGAGAAGGUGAAGGCGCCGGCCGGACUGAUCGCGACCGACGGCAACCAGAACGCGAACCGCGCGCGGCCGUUGUGCGAGUGGC